rnacentral:lncRNA from 1 species
UGUGUGGGAAAGACUAAUAAGGUAACCUUUUGUUGUCAGUCUGGAAAGAUAAAUGCUUGGAAGAUGUUUUACUUCUAUCCAUCUUCAACUUUCAAUAAAAGCAAUGAAGAAUUUUUUGUCAAGGCCACACCAAUUUAAUUUCUUGUUCUACGGAUUUUUGGACUCCAAAAUUUGGGGCGAGCGAGCGAUUUGAAAAUUUUAAUAAAAAAAUAUUUAAUUUGCAAAUUUUUUAGGCGAAGCUUGAAAAGUAAAGGCGAGCGAUUAUAAUUUUUUUUUGUAAACAUAAAACAGUAGGUUUUGACAAU